GAUGAAUGCUGGCGGCGUGCCUAAUACAUGCAAGUCGAGCGAACAGACGAGGAGCUUGCUCCUCUGACGUUAGCGGCGGACGGGUGAGUAACACGUGGAUAACCUACCUAUAAGACUGGGAUAACUUCGGGAAACCCGAGCUAAUACCGGAUAAUAUAUUGAACCGCAUGGUUCAAUAGUGAAAGACGGUUUUGCUGUCACUUAUAGAUGGAUCCGCGCCGCAUUAGCUAGUUGGUAAGGUAACGGCUUACCAAGGCAACGAUGCGUAGCCGACCUGAGAGGGUGAUCGGCCACACUGGAACUGAGACACGGUCCAGACUCCUACGGGAGGCAGCAGUAGGGAAUCUUCCGCAAUGGGCGAAAGCCUGACGGAGCAACGCCGCGUGAGUGAUGAAGGUCUUCGGAUCGUAAAACUCUGUUAUUAGGGAAGAACAAAUGUGUAAGUAACUAUGCACGUCUUGACGGUACCUAAUCAGAAAGCCACGGCUAACUACGUG
rnacentral:rRNA from 1 species